rnacentral:rRNA from 1 species
UGCAGUCGAGCGGAACGAGUUAUCUGAACCUUCGGGGGACGAUAACGGCGUCGAGCGGCGGACGGGUGAGUAAUGCCUAGGAAAUUGCCCUGAUGUGGGGGAUAACCAUUGGAAACGAUGGCUAAUACCGCAUAAUGCCUACGGGCCAAAGAGGGGGACCUUCGGGCCUCUCGCGUCAGGAUAUGCCUAGGUGGGAUUAGCUAGUUGGUGAGGUAAUGGCUCACCAAGGCGACGAUCCCUAGCUGGUCUGAGAGGAUGAUCAGCCACACUGGAACUGAGACACGGUCCAGACUCCUACGGGAGGCAGCAGUGGGGAAUAUUGCACAAUGGGCGCAAGCCUGAUGCAGCCAUGCCGCGUGUGUGAAGAAGGCCUUCGGGUUGUAAAGCACUUUCAGUCGUGAGGAAGGUGGUGUAGUUAAUAGCUGCAUUAUUUGACGUUAGCGACAGAAGAAGCACCGGCUAACUCCGUGCCAGCAGCCGCGGUAAUACGGAGGGUGCGAGCGUUAAUCGGAAUUACUGGGCGUAAAGCGCAUGCAGGUGGUUUGUUAAGUCAGAUGUGAAAGCCCGGGGCUCAACCUCGGAAUAGCAUUUGAAACUGGCAGACUAGAGUACUGUAGAGGGGGGUAGAAUUUCAGGUGUAGCGGUGAAAUGCGUAGAGAUCUGAAGGAAUACCGGUGGCGAAGGCGGCCCCCUGGACAGAUACUGACACUCAGAUGCGAAAGCGUGGGGAGCAAACAGGAUUAGAUACCCUGGUAGUCCACGCCGUAAACGAUGUCUACUUGGAGGUUGUGGCCUUGAGCCGUGGCUUUCGGAGCUAACGCGUUAAGUAGACCGCCUGGGGAGUACGGUCGCAAGAUUAAAACUCAAAUGAAUUGACGGGGGCCCGCACAAGCGGUGGAGCAUGUGGUUUAAUUCGAUGCAACGCGAAGAACCUUACCUACUCUUGACAUCCAGAGAACUUUCCAGAGAUGGAUUGGUGCCUUCGGGAACUCUGAGACAGGUGCUGCAUGGCUGUCGUCAGCUCGUGUUGUGAAAUGUUUGGGUUAAGUCCCNGCAACGAGCGCAACCCUUAUCCUUGUUUGCCAGCGAGUAAUGUCGGGAACUCC